rnacentral:misc_RNA from 1 species
GUGAGUGCAUGUGAAAUGAUCCAGGAAAAACGAAGUGAAGGUACCUAGGAAAGAAUGAAAAUGAAACGAUAAGUUUAUACCUAAUAAUACGUCUCCCGAAAAUGGAAGAAGAAAAUGUCCUGCCAAGACGCAACCUUAAUAAACGAGUUUUAAAAAGAUGUAAUGGGACAUUAGGUAUAGAAAAUGUACCAGAAAUACCUUCAAUUGCUGACAUAAUAGAAGGACUAACAAACUUAAAGAAACAAAUUAAACGAAGAGAUGAAAAAUCAACAAAUGGAGUUAAUUAAUCUAGUAGCGGAAACUUCUGCUUUACUUAAGGAACCAAUAACGCUUCGAAAAAGUAAGGAAUCGUUGAAACAACUGGAUGAAUACUUGCAAAAAAACGAAGAUAAAAUUAAUCCGUCCUUAUACAGGGCUCCCGUACAGACGGAUUCUCCGAAAUCGCCAAAAACAAAUACCAUAAAACUGAAUGCGUACAAAAGAAAAACUUAUGCAUAACAAUACUGCAAGCAUUGCACCUUGAAUUUUAUAUUAUUGUGUAUUAUGUUUUCACUUGGAAGAAUUUAUUUAUAUUAUA